UAGCAUUCUGUCACUAUAGCAACGCAGAGUCCUGAUGCCUGUGGGUCCGGAGGUGCUGGGAACCAGGAAACCCGAAGUCACUCAAUAGCAUACAUAGAAAGACAAAAAGUGGAGAACCCCUUUAACAAGUGUACAGCAGGACCCACUUACCGAAAGUGCAGGGAUCGGUUCUGGUGCAUACAAUAAAUGGAUCUACAGACCCCACAUCCUUCAUACAGGAGGAAACUGCUGAUCCACUGGGACUUUCCUGCACAACCAUGUCUAGGGUUUACCAAGAAUGGUCCAAAAAAGAGUUGUGUGGACAAAAAGCCUUUUAGAGAAUAAAGAGCAGACUGGUUUUGAGAUGACAGAAAGGCAAUAGUAAUGCAAAUAAUGACUCAUUACAACCAAUGAGAAUACCAUCUCUAAGUACACAAGUUAUCGAACCUUGAAGCGGAUGGGCUAUGGCAGAAAAAAAAGACCACAUCGGAUGCCACUCCUGUCAGCUACAUUUUGCACAGGUUCAUCAAAAUUGGACAAUAAAAGAUGGGAAGAAAAUUGCCUGGUCUCAUGAGUUCUAGCUGCAACAUUCAGAUGGCAGGAUCAGAAUUUGGAGUGAACAGCAAGAAAGCAUGAAUCCAUCCUGCCUUGUAUCAACAGUUCAGGCUGGUGGUGGUGUAAUGGUGUGGGGGACAUUUUAUUGGCACCCUUUGGGCCCAUUCGUACCAACUGAGUAUCAUUUAAACAUGACAGCCUACCUGAGUAGUGUUGCUGGCCAUGUCAACCCCUUUAUGACCACAGUGUACCCAUCUUUUGAUGGCUACUUCAGCAGGAUAAUGCACCAUGUCACAAAGCUCACAUCAUCUCAUACUGGUUCCAUGAACAUAACAAUGAGUUCACUGUACUCCAAUGUCCUUCACAGUCACCACAUCUCAAUCCAACAGAGGAACUUUGGGAUGUGGUGGAACAGGAAAUUAGCAUAAUGGAUGUGCAGCCAAAAAAUCUACAGCUAUUGUGUGAUGCCAUCAUGUCCAUAGGGACCAAAAUCUCUGAGGAAUGCUUCCAGCGCCUUUUAGAAAGUAUGCCAUGAAGAAUAAAGGCUAGUGAGUGUAUAUGGUUG